AACGCGAAGAACCUUACCUACCCUUGAAUCCACGGAAUCUAUCAGAGAUGUUAGAGUGCCUUCGGGAACCGUGAGACAGGUGCUGCAUGGCUGUCGUCAGCUCGUGUCGUGAGAUGUUGGGUUAAGUCCCGUAACGAGCGCAACCCUUAUCCUUAGUUGCCAGCAAUUCGGUUGGGCACUUUAAGGAGACUGCCGGUGAUAAACCGGAGGAAGGUGGGGACGAAGUCAAGUCAUCAUGGCCCUUACGGGUAGGGCUACACGCGUGCUACAAUGGGUGGUACAACAGGAGGCGAAACCGCGAGGUGGAGCAAACCCUCCAAAGCCACUCGUAGUCCGGAUUGAAGUCUGCAACUCGACUUCAUGAAGCUGGAAUCGCUAGUAAUCGUGGAUCAGAACGCCGCGGUGAAUACGUUCUCGGGCCUUGUACACACCGUAGAGAC
rnacentral:rRNA from 1 species